CCGAUGGCGACCGGCGCACGGGUGAGUAACACGUAUCCAACCUGCCGUCUACUCUUGGACAGCCUUCUGAAAGGAAGAUUAAUACAAGAUGGCAUCAUGAGUCCACAUGUUCACAUGAUUAAAGGUAUUCCGGUAGACGAUGGGGAUGCGUUCCAUUAGAUAGUAGGCGGGGUAACGGCCCACCUAGUCUUCGAUGGAUAGGGGUUCUGAGAGGAAGGUCCCCCACAUUGGAACUGAGACACGGUCCAAACUCCUACGGGAGGCAGCAGUGAGGAAUAUUGGUCAAUGGGCGAGAGCCUGAACCAGCCAAGUAGCGUGAAGGAUGACUGCCCUAUGGGUUGU
rnacentral:rRNA from 1 species